rnacentral:rRNA from 1 species
UACGUAGGGUACGAGCGUUGUCCGGAAUUAUUGGGCGUAAAGAGCUCGUAGGUGGUUGGUCGCGUCUGCUGUGGAAACGCAACGCUUAACGUUGCGCGGGCAGUGGGUACGGGCUGACUAGAGUGCCGUAGGGGAGUCUGGAAUUCCUGGUGUAACGGUGAAAUGCGCAGAUAUCAGGAGGAACACCGGUGGCGAAGGCGGGACUCUGGGCUGUAACUGACACUGAGGAGCGAAAGCAUGGGGAGCGAACAGG